GACGUCGAUAUUCGACGUCAUAAACACGAUCAACUUUGGUGUUUAUGACGUCGAUAUUCGACGUCAUAAACACGAUCAACUUUGGUGUUUAUGACGUCGAUAUUCAACGUCAUAAACACGAUCAACUUUGGUGUUUAUGACGUCGAUAUUCGACGUCAUAAACACGAUCAACUUUGGUGUUUAUGACGUCGAUAUUCGACGUCAUAAACACGAUCAACUUUGGUGUUGAUGACGUCGAUAUUCGACGUC
rnacentral:miRNA from 1 species